GGAAAAGAAACUAACAAGGAUUCCCCUAGUAACGGCGAGCGAAGCGGGAAGAGCUCAAAUUUGAAAGCUGGCACCUUCGGUGUCCGCGUUGUAAUCUCGAGACGUGUUUUCCGUGUGGCGCUAUGGACAAGUCCCUUGGAACAGGGCAUCGUAGAGGGUGAAAAUCCCGUACUUGCCAUGGCUGUACCAUGCUUUGUGAUACACGCUCUAAGAGUCGAGUUGUUUGGGAUUGCAGCUCAAAAUGGGUGGUAGACUCCAUCUAAAGCUAAAUAUCGGGGAGAGACCGAUAGCGAACAAGUACCGUGAGGGAAAGAUGAAAAGCACUUUGGAAAGAGAGUUAAAAGUACGUGAAAUUGUCGAAAGGGAAGCGCUUGAAGUCAGCCAUGCUGCUUGAGACUCAGCCUUGCUUUUGCUUGGUGUAUUUCUCGGUAGCAAGCCAGCAUUGGUUCGAGUCGUCGGAGAAGGGUAUGAGAAAUGUGGCAUCCUCGGAUGUGUUAUAGACUUGUACUGGAUACGACGAUUUGGAUCAAGGAACGCAGUGUGCCUCUGGCGGGUCUUCGGACACCUUCACA
rnacentral:rRNA from 1 species